CACCCAGAAUUUUUUUUCCACCCCAAGCAUCUGGUCCCAGUCAUCAUCAGUUCUGAUUAUGUCACAUGCAUAACGAGUCCACAAUUUCUUAAAAUUGUUUCUGUAAAGUGUAGUGAAUGAGAAUAUUCUGCUGAUCCUCACUGUUCUUAGGAAGGAGAAAUGUCAGCUUGUCUGCAGUAAUACUGGAAUACUGUGACAUUGUAUUAAAGCAAUACUCCUUGGUGAAACAUUUUUCACAUUUCCUCUAAAGUGCACCUAUUGUUUCAUUGUGCUAAUUGUCAUAAGCAUGUUGUCUGUAAACUUUAAAUGUAUUGACAAUUUGUACAAUUCUGUUAUAGUAUAUUGGCUGUUG